rnacentral:lncRNA from 1 species
ACCUAAAGAUCCUGGACCAGGAGAUUAAGAAGCAAAUGACGUCUCCUUCGUGUUACCUGACACAGGAAACCCUAGUGGAGACCCAAAGCUUCCUCCUCCUCCUCAUGCAAUAAAGAUCAAUUUGUCUGGGAGCCACUUCUUUUUGAUGAGAGACCGUUUCUGGGAGAGGUCUCGGGCUUCAAGGAGCACAUACAAGUACCCAAGAAAGUCUCCCACGGGGGGCGGGUAUUGAGGACCUCAGCUGCCAGAGGCUGUGGCAGCGCCGCCG